rnacentral:rRNA from 1 species
UACGUAGGUGGCAAGCGUUAUCCGGAAUUAUUGGGCGUAAAGAGCGCGCAGGUGGUUGAUUAAGUCUGAUGUGAAAGCCCACGGCUUAACCGUGGAGGGUCAUUGGAAACUGGUCGACUUGAGUGCAGAAGAGGGAAGUGGAAUUCCAUGUGUAGCGGUGAAAUGCGUAGAGAUAUGGAGGAACACCAGUGGCGAAGGCGGCUUACUGGGCCGUAACUGACGCUGAGGCGCGAAAGCGUGGGGAGCGAACAGGAUUAGAUACCCCCGUA